rnacentral:tRNA from 1 species
GGAGGGAUGGCCGAGCGGAUGAAGGCGCGCGACUCGAAAUCGCGUUUCCCGAUGGUCUCGGGAACGGGGGUUCGAAUCCCUCUCCCUCCG